rnacentral:misc_RNA from 1 species
GAACAAGGACCAAUGCGACAUUUUGGAAUUGAUCACAACCAUACUAAAUAAUAACAAAAUCGAGAGCAACAAAAUAAGGGGAUCAACCCUUCCACUUAUACAUGCAUGCUCAUGAAUGAGAAAACAAUGGCUCAUCAAAACAAGGGAAUGUAACUCCUGCUAGAAGACCCAGGUCAAAACGAGCAAACACAACAAAUGUAUA